rnacentral:rRNA from 1 species
UAUGUGAUCGUCUCUCGCAUAUCAAUAAGCGGAGGAAAAGAAACUAACAAGGAUUCCCUUAGUAACUGCGAGUGAAGCGGGAAGAGCUCAAAUUUGAAAUCUUAAAGGGUUUCCCUUUACGAAUUGUAGUUUAAAGAAGUGUUUUCUGUUGAGGUUUUGGUAAAAGUUCUUUGGAAUAGGACAUCAUAGAGGGUGAGAAUCCCGUAUUUGACCUUUACUUUCAACUUUGUGAUACACUUUCAAAGAGUCGGAUUGUUUGGGAAUGCAGUCCAAAAUGGGUGGUAAAUUUCAUCUAAAGCUAAAUAUUGGCGAGAGACCGAUAGCGAACAAGUACCGUGAGGGAAAGAUGAAAAGAACUUUGAAAAGAGAGUUAAACGGUACGUGAAAUUGUCAAAAGGGAAGCGUUUGACACCAGUGUUGUUUUUCUGAAAAUCAAUUAAAGAACUGUUUAUGCUAAGCUGUUUAGACUUUAUCAGCUAUCUGUUUAGUUUUGAGCUUUUCUUUAAUGCACUUUUCAGUUAACAAGUCAACAUCAAUUUCUUUUGCUGUAAAAAAGCUUGAGGAAGGUGGCUUGAGAUUCGUCUUAAGUGUUUAUAGCCUCUUGCCUAUGCAGUCGGAGAGAUCGAGGUCUGCAGCGUAGAUCCUUCGGGGCUAAAUGCAUUUGUGCUAAGUUAUAGCAUUUUAUAGACAACUUGUUGACUAUGAUUUGUCUUGUAGCUUACUCGCUUAUGUUAUUUUACCUACGCUUAGGAUGUUGAAGAUAUGCGCGACACG